rnacentral:rRNA from 1 species
UAUUUAUUAGAUAACAGACCAAUAUUCCUCGUGUCUAUUGUGGUGACUCAUAGUAACUGAUCGGAUCGCAUGGCCUUGUGCCGCGACUAACCAUUCAAGUUUCUGACCCAUCAGCUUUCGAUGGUAGUGUAUUGGACUACCAUGGCUUUCACGGGUAACGGAGGAUUAGGGUUCGAUUCCGGAGAGGGAGCCUGAGAAACGGCUACCACAUCUAAGGAAGGCAGCAGGCGCGUAAAUUACCCAAUCCUGACUCAGGGAGGUAGUGACAAGAAAUAACGGGUCGGGGCAUUCGCCUCGGGAUUGCAAUGAAUUGAAUUUACACCCCUUAAUGAGGAUCAAUUGGAGGGCAAGUCUGGUGCCAGCAGCCGCGGUAAUUCCAGCUCCAAUAGCGUAUAUUAAAGUUGUUGCAGUUAAAAAGCUCGUAGUUUGAUUUCUGGACGGGCGCCAACACCCGCUUGUUUAGUGUGGAGGCGGCGCCCGCCCAUCCUUCUGUUAACGCCACCGGCAUUCGUUUGCUGGCGGCGGGCUCAGAUAUUUUACCUUGAGAAAAUUAGAGUGUUUCAGGCAGGCUUGCGC